rfam:Spinacia oleracea cultivar SynViroflay scaffold881.con0004.1, whole genome shotgun sequence.
AGACCAUGGUGUGGACAUUCUCUCUGCAAAUCUUUGAACCUUUCCCAGACCUCGAACAAACUCUCAUCGGCCUGUUGAGUAAUAGAAAUAAUCAGGCUCCUCAGACG